AGAGUUUGAUCAUGGCUCAGGACGAACGCUGGCGGCGUGCCUAAUACAUGCAAGUCGAGCGCAGGAAGCCGUCUGAACCCUCCGGGGGGACGACGGUGGAAUGAGCGGCGGACGGGUGAGUAACACGUAAAGAACCUGCCCAUAGGUCUGGGAUAACCUCGAGAAAUCGGGGCUAAUACCGGAUGUGUCAUCGGACCGCAUGGUCCGCUGAUGAAAGGCGCUCCGGCGUCGCCCAUGGAUGGCUUUGCGGUGCAUUAGCUAGUUGGUGGGGUAACGGCCCACCAAGGCGACGAUGCAUAGCCGACCUGAGAGGGUGAUCGGCCACACUGGGACUGAGACACGGCCCAGACUCCUACGGGAGGCAGCAGUAGGGAAUCUUCCACAAUGGACGAAAGUCUGAUGGAGCAACGCCGCGUGAACGAUGAAGGCUUUCGGGUCGUAAAGUUCUGUUGUAAGGGAAGAACAAGUGCCGCAGGCAAUGGCGGCACCUUGACGGUACCUUGCGAGAAAGCCACGGCUAACUACGUGCCAGCAGCCGCGGUAAUACGUAGGUGGCAAGCGUUGUCCGGAAUUAUUGGGCGUAAAGCGCGCGCAGGCGGCCUCUUAAGUCUGAUGUGAAAGCCCCCGGCUCAACCGGGGAGGGCCAUUGGAAACUGGGAGGCUUGAGUAUAGGAGAGAAGAGUGGAAAUUCCACGUGUAGCGGUGAAAUGCGUAGAGAUGUGGAGGAACACCAGUGGCGAAGGCGACUCUUUGGGCCUAUAACUGACGCUGAGGCGCGAAAGCGUGGGGAGCAAACAGGAUUAGAUACCCUGGUAGUCCACGCCGUAACGAUGAGUGCUAGUGUUGAGGGUUUCCGCCCUUCAGUGCUGAGCUACGCAUAGCACUCGCUGGGGAGUACCGUCGCAGCUGAACUCAAGAUGGACCGGGACCGCACAGCGUGGAGCAUGUGAAAAUUCGAAGCAACGCGAGACUCAACUCUUGACAUCCCCCUGACCGGUACAGAGAUGUACCUUCCCCUUCGGGGGCAGGGGUGACAGGUGGUGCAUGGUUGUCGUCAGCUCGUGUCGUGAGAUGUUGGGUUAAGUCCCGCAACGAGCGCAACCCUUGUCCUUAGUUGCCAGCAUUAAGUUGGGCACUCUAGGGAGACUGCCGGUGACAAACCGGAGGAAGGUGGGGAUGACGUCAAAUCAUCAUGCCCCUUAUGAGUUGGGCUACACACGUGCUACAAUGGACGGUACAAAGGGCAGCGAAGCCGCGAGGUGGAGCCAAUCCCAGAAAGCCGUUCUCAGUUCGGAUUGCAGGCUGCAACUCGCCUGCAUGAAGUCGGAAUCGCUAGUAAUCGCAGGUCAGCAUACUGCGGUGAAUACGUUCCCGGGUCUUGUACACACUGCCCGUCACACCACGAGAGUUUGCAACACCCGAAGUCGGUGAGGUAACCGUAAGGAGCCAGCCGCCGAAGGUGGGGCAGAUGAUUGGGGUGAAGUCGUAACAAGGUAACCGUA
rnacentral:rRNA from 2 species